AAAGUGGGCCGGGUGAUCGCUCACGAAACAUGCGUGAGAGGAAAGUCCGGACUCCAAAGGGCAAGGUGCUGGGUAACGCCCAGGCGGAGCAAUCCGACACCAGCGCCACAGAAAAGAUACCGCCGAUGGCUGAGGCUAUCGCUUCAACCAGGUAAGGGUGAAAUGGUGGGGUAAGAGCCCACCGCGCUUGUGGUGACACAAGUGGCAGGGUAAGCGUCACCUGGAGCAAAACCAAAUUGGGGAACGAUUCUCUGUUUUGAGGGGGAAGUCAUUCCUCAUCAGAACGGGAGGGAGGUCGGCCCGGCCAAGGUUCCCGGGUAGGUUGCUUGAAGCCUAGGGUAACCUAGGUUCCAGAGAAAUGGUCACCGCCGAAUGAGGCUUGCCUCAAACGGUACAGAAUCCGGCUUACAGGCCCGCUUCUCCA
rnacentral:RNase_P_RNA from 1 species